rnacentral:sRNA from 1 species
UCCUGUAGAAUUGACUGAUUCGUUCUGA